rnacentral:rRNA from 1 species
AGCGAAUCGAUGGGAGCUUGCUCCCUGAGAUUAGCGGCGGACGGGUGAGUAACACGUGGGCAACCUGCCUAUAAGACUGGGAUAACUUCGGGAAACCGGAGCUAAUACCGGAUACGUUCUUUUCUCGCAUGAGAGAAGAUGGAAAGACGGUUUACGCUGUCACUUAUAGAUGGGCCCGCGGCGCAUUAGCUAGUUGGUGAGGUAAUGGCUCACCAAGGCGACGAUGCGUAGCCGACCUGAGAGGGUGAUCGGCCACACUGGGACUGAGACACGGCCCAGACUCCUACGGGAGGCAGCAGUAGGGAAUCUUCCGCAAUGGACGAAAGUCUGACGGAGCAACGCCGCGUGAACGAAGAAGGCCUUCGGGUCGUAAAGUUCUGUUGUUAGGGAAGAACAAGUACCAGAGUAACUGCUGGUACCUUGACGGUACCUAACCAGAAAGCCACGGCUAACUACGUGCCAGCAGCCGCGGUAAUACGUAGGUGGCAAGCGUUGUCCGGAAUUAUUGGGCGUAAAGCGCGCGCAGGUGGUUCCUUAAGUCUGAUGUGAAAGCCCACGGCUCAACCGUGGAGGGUCAUUGGAAACUGGGGAACUUGAGUGCAGAAGAGGAAAGUGGAAUUCCAAGUGUAGCGGUGAAAUGCGUAGAGAUUUGGAGGAACACCAGUGGCGAAGGCGACUUUCUGGUCUGUAACUGACACUGAGGCGCGAAAGCGUGGGGAGCAAACAGGAUUAGAUACCCUG